AACUUCCGUUGACUCCUAUGUGGUUCCGGGUGUAGAAGGAGGAGUGCAGCCAGAGACGGUUUUAGAACUAGGAAAGAUGAGUCAAAUCGAAGAACUAAAAGCGUUUGUCUCCGAGCGGCUACACUCAGCUGCUUCUGAAAUAUUAGGUGCUAUUGAAAAAACAAUAACGAAUUACGAGGAGCAGGCUAUCCGUUUAAAGGAAGACAACGACCGUCACCGUUCUCUGUUGGAUAUUAUCAUCAAAGCCAAUUCACCACAGACAGAAGCUGUUUGCACCACCAAAAAACGUACCCCUGCUGCUGCUGGCCCAGCUGCAUCAGAUCCAAGUCCUGCCCGCAAGGCCAGAGAAACCCACUACAAUUCCAGUGACUUGCAGUAUGCCUUCACUUCACACACUGACUUUCUGAAGUUUGCCGGCAAUGACGACUGUCCCUACUGCCUAAAGAGAAUUCAAGCCACUGAGACACAUUUGAUGAGAAGACAUUAUCUAUCUGCUGUCCAUUUUAAUCAAGAUGGUACUGAAAAGUUUGUUGUACCAUGUACGUGCAAAGACUUGAUCCAAGGCAGAAGUCACUGGCACUGCCCAUAUUGCACAAAAAUCAUUUAUCGGAAAGUUAGCUUUGAGGUGCACAUAUCUAAACAACAUGGUUAUCCAAUACUACAGCAAAGCCACUCCGCAGCGUGGCCUGUCUUUGGCGAGGAGGAGGAGGCUUUUCUGCAUCAGCCGUAUGCUUGGCCAGCAAGUGGUAUUUGAGACUCCACGUACUCCGGGGGUAACUCAAUUCACAUCGACAGGACAUGCAAAUAACUUUAAUCUUGUCGAGAAUAUCAUCUGGAAGGGCUUUGGAACUGAACUUGCCAUUCAAAAGACCCUUUUCUUUUUCCAUUUCUGCUCAAGGAGGUUUGUUUAUGCUAUCCAUCCACAACGUUACUGCUGCAUCACUUCAUGAUUUCCCAAAGUACGGAGAAGCCCAAAUCACAGAACACAAGUGCAUUAAUCGCACGUCAAAAGAAUUAGUGGCGUUAUUAUCACAUUCAUUUUGACAGCUCUAUUUUGAAUACAAAAAAGAUUCACUAAUAGUGAUUUUACUUACUCUAAGGACCUGUGGGACGUUUGAUAAUCAUUUAAUAAGUGUCAAGGAUGGCCUGAUUUGAUUUUGGUAAUCAAAGGUCAAGGUCAGUAAAACCUCACAAAAUGCGCUUUUUGGCCAUUACUCAAGAAUUCCUACACCAAUUACGACAACAUUACACACAAAUGUCUAAUAAGAUAUAAUGAAGUGAUGACAUUUUAUAUCCCAAACGUCAACUUCACUGUAACAUAAUGUUUUGCCAAAACACUUUUCUGGCCAUUAUUCAACUUCAUAACUCAGGAACAGAGGGGCAGAUUGUGACCAUAUUUAACACUUUGUCGAUGACUGAAUUGGUGACACUUAUCUUGAAACUGUGGUGAUUGUAUACAUCUGUGCUGCCGAGUUGAAGAUGUGUGUGAAGCAUCCCAGCUUCGCCAGAAAAUACACUUAAUACCUUUUUUAUUAAAUUCCUUGAAAGUCUACAAUACAUAUAUUAUGAGUCUGGACAGACAUGGAUGUAAACUGCAACUUGACUGGUUGGUGAAGGCAUACAACCGCAAAGCGGUAAUUUUAGUUCUCUACUUUCUUUUCUUUAAGCAUAUUCUGAGCAGACCUUGCCACAAGGAUGCCCAGUUUGCUUCAAAAUGUGUGUCAGAUAUAUGGCAAUCCUAUCAAUAUAAUAAAAUAUAUUGCUCUCUCCUUCCCCUUAGAGAUUGAUCAGCCCUCUAUCUCUGCCUUUGAGGAGGAGGUUCCCCUGAGUCCUGGACCUUGGUGUCACCAGGAGUUCAGCAGUCUGGACCAGGAGGUCCAACAGGCCUCACUGCUGCUUCAAGUUAAAGAAGAAGAAGAAGAAGAAGAAAAAGAAGAACGGGAAAUGCGGAAACAAGUGAGUCAUCCUGAGGGGCAGAACGUAUGUGGGCAAGCACAAAAAGGUAACAGUCAAACGAGUCUGGAGGCAGAUCAUGCCCAAGUCUCUGUAUUCAACAUUGUCUGUGUGGACAGUUAUAUUCAAGAUCUUGGCGAAAUCAACAGUGCGGGAAGGGGCAAGGGACAUCCUCCUCCUAAUUCUUCAAAUCAACCUCUGGAAAUGCACGAUAGUGGUGUUGGUGAAAUUCAGCAGCCAGCUGGGGAAUCUGAGCACCCCACACCUUGCUCUAGUUUAAAGGCAUUCAAUUCAAAGAGGAAAAAGCGUGUGAAAAGGUCUUUACCCCCCUUGAGUUUGAAUAUACAGAAAUCAACACAACCAUCUGUCAGUUCUAAUCCCACAGGUCCUCAUUGUUGUAAAGCAUGCGGAAAGACUUUCCAUUACAUGUACACGCUGAGGUCACAUGCACAAACACAUGCAGUGGAUAAAAUCCAUGUUUGUGGUAUCUGUGGAAAACAUUUAGAGUCUACAGACCGUUUAGUCCAGCACCUUCAAAGCCACACAAAGAGAAACAAAUGUGCUACAUGUGGGAAAGCAUUUUCUAAUAUUUCCCUUCUAAAACGGCAUUGGAGAUUUCACAGGUCUAAAUGCCAUGUCAUUAACUUAAAAACCACAGAUGGGUGAUAACCUACAAAUGUCAUAAAUGCCGAGUGAUAGCCAUUGUUUUUAUUAUAGUCAGUUGUGGACAGUUGUAGCCUGCUGGGGUGGGACUGGGUGGUGGGACGGAUUGAGAGGAUGAGAAGGAGAGACCAGAGGGUUGGGAAAGGGGAGGGCGGAUUUAUAUUUUGUUUAUUAUAUGGUGAUUUUAUGUAUACCAGAAUAUUUUGAAAGUUCAAUAAAAAAUUUGUUAAAAAAAAAAAGUAUUGUACUUAUGGGACAAAUAAUUCAGUCCUAGUGCUGGGAAGUAUGUUGAUGUUCAUUGUAUAUUGUGUUUAUAUACAAUUUUGUUCUCUAAAAUAAAAUAAAAAAAUUGAAGUCAAA